rnacentral:lncRNA from 10 species
CACAGGUCUCACUGGCUAAAAUCAAGAUGUUGGCAGGACCACGUUCCUUUCUGGAGGUCUAAAAGAGACUCUGUUGCCCUGACUUUUCACCUUCUAGGACCCUUCCACAUUUCUUGCCUCAUGACCACUUCCACGCAGCCGUGUCUCUGGUUCUCUGGCCAUCCUCCCACAACCUGGAGAGUUUCCACUUCGAAGAUGUUUUUUCUCAUGUGCAGGCUGUUUACUAAAGGGCCACACAGCAUGUUACCUUCAAUCCGU